CUUAUACUUGCAAGUCGAGCGGACAGAUGGGAGCUUGCUCCCUGAUGUUAGCGGCGGACGGGUGAGUAACACGUGGGUAACCUGCCUGUAAGACUGGGAUAACUCCGGGAAACCGGGGCUAAUACCGGAUGGUUGUUUGAACCGCAUGGUUCAGACAUAAAAGGUGGCUUCGGCUACCACUUACAGAUGGACCCGCGGCGCAUUAGCUAGUUGGUGAGGUAACGGCUCACCAAGGCGACGAUGCGUAGCCGACCUGAGAGGGUGAUCGGCCACACUGGGACUGAGACACGGCCCAGAYUCCUACGGGAGGCAGCAGUAGGGAAUCUUCCGCAAUGGACGAAAGUCUGACGGAGCAACGCCGCGUGAGUGAUGAAGGUUUUCGGAUCGUAAAGCUCUGUUGUUAGGGAAGAACAAGUGCCGUUCAAAUAGGGCGGCACCUUGACGGUACCUAACCAGAAAGCCACGGCUAACUACGUGCCAGCAGCCGCGGUAAUACGUAGGUGGCAAGCGUUGUCCGGAAUUAUUGGGCGUAAAGGGCUCGCAGGCGGUUUCUUAAGUCUGAUGUGAAAGCCCCCGGCUCAACCGGGGAGGGUCAUUGGAAACUGGGGAACUUGAGUGCAGAAGAGGAGAGUGGAAUUCCACGUGUAGCGGUGAAAUGCGUAGAGAUGUGGAGGAACACCAGUGGCGAAGGCGACUCUCUGGUCUGUAACUGACGCUGAGGAGCGAAAGCGUGGGGAGCGAACAGGAUUAGAUACCCUGGUAGUCCACGCCGUAAACGAUGAGUGCUAAGUGUUAGGGGGUUUCCGCCCCUUAGUGCUGCAGCUAACGCAUUAAGCACUCCGCCUGGGGAGUACGGUCGCAAGACUGAAACUCAAAGGAAUUGACGGGGGCCCGCACAAGCGGUGGAGCAUGUGGUUUAAUUCGAAGCAACGCGAAGAACCUUACCAGGUCUUGACAUCCUCUGACAAUCCUAGAGAUAGGACGUCCCCUUCGGGGGCAGAGUGACAGGUGGUGCAUGGUUGUCGUCAGCUCGUGUCGUGAGAUGUUGGGUUAAGUCCCGCAACGAGCGCAACCCUUGAUCUUAGUUGCCAGCAUUCAGUUGGGCACUCUAAGGUGACUGCCGGUGACAAACCGGAGGAAGGUGGGGAUGACGUCAAAUCAUCAUGCCCCUUAUGACCUGGGCUACACACGUGCUACAAUGGACAGAACAAAGGGCAGCGAAACCGCGAGGUUAAGCCAAUCCCACAAAUCUGUUCUCAGUUCGGAUCGCAGUCUGCAACUCGACUGCGUGAAGCUGGAAUCGCUAGUAAUCGCGGAUCAGCAUGCCGCGGUGAAUACGUUCCCGGGCCUUGUACACACCGCCCGUCACACCACGAGAGUUUGUAACACCCGAAGUCGGUGAGGUAACCUUUAUGGAGCCAGCCGCCCGAAAGUG
rnacentral:rRNA from 1 species